UACGUAGGGUGCAAGCGUUGUCCGGAAUUAUUGGGCGUAAAGAGCUCGUAGGCGGUUUGUCGCGUCGAAUGUGAAAUCCCGGGGCUCAACCUCGGGUCUGCAUUCGAUACGGGCAGACUAGAGUUCGGUAGGGGAGUCUGGAAUUCCUGGUGUAGCGGUGAAAUGCGCAGAUAUCAGGAGGAACACCGGUGGCGAAGGCGGAUCUCUGGGCCUUGCCUGACGCUGAGGCGCGAAAGCUAGGGGAGCGAACAGG
rnacentral:rRNA from 1 species